GGCAUAAACUUGAAGUAGAGUACUUCAGUAGGGUCAGAUGAUCCUUCUAAUCUACUCUACUUCAAAUCUGGGCCC
rnacentral:pre_miRNA from 1 species